rnacentral:rRNA from 1 species
UAUUGGUCAAUGGCCUAACGGCUGAACUGGCAACUUGGAGAAGUGGCAAGUCUUCCAGUAUGGGGAGCAAAACAGCUAUGGGUCAAGUCCGAUAUCUUUAGGAGAAGUCUUAUUGUGAGGGCGAGUUAUAUAACACCAUAGGACUGGCCGUCCCAUAUGAAAAGAUUAUAUUAGAAUUGAAUGAAGCUUUGUUUAUAUAUUGAUAAUGACAGUAUAUAUAUCGUGUCUUGACUAAUUGCGUGCCAGCAGUCGCGGUAAUACGUAAGAGACUAGUGUUAUUCAUCUUAAUUAGGUUUAAAGGGUACCCAGACGGUCAAUAUAGCUUAUAAAAUGUUAGUACUUGACUAGAGUUUUAUGUAAGAGGGCAGUACUUGAGGAGGAGAGAUGAAAUUUCGUGAUACCAAAGGGACUCUGUAAAGGCGAAGGCAGCCCUCUAUGUAAAAACUGACGUUGAAGGACGAAGGCACAGAGAACAAACAGGAUUAGAUACCCAAGUAGUCUUUGCAGUAAAUGAUGAAUGCCAUAGGUUAGAUUGGUCAAUUAUAGUCUAGGGUUAGUCUAGCAAACUAAUACCCUAUGCUAUAAUCCUAAUAUCUGGUCUAUAAAUGAAAGUGUAAGCAUUUCACCUCAAGAGUAAUGUGGCAACGCAGGAACUGAAAUCACUAGACCGUUUCUGACACCAGUAGUGAAGUAUGUUAUUUA